rnacentral:rRNA from 1 species
UACGUAGGGAGCAAGCGUUGUCCGGAAUCAUUGGGCGUAAAGAGCUCGUAGGCGGUUUGCUCAGUCGGAUGUGAAACCUCCAGGCUCAACCUGGAGCCGCCAUUCGAUACUGGCAUGACUAGAGUCCGGUAGGGGCCCACGGAACUCCUGGUGUAGCGGUGAAAUGCGCAGAUAUCAGGAAGAACACCGAUGGCGAAGGCAGAUCUCUGGGCCGUAACUGACGCUGAGGAGCGAAAGCAUGGGGAGCGAACAGG